AUCGCAGACCGCCUUAUCGCCGUUCGCAUUGCGAAGGGAGGAAAGUCCGGACACCACAGAGAAGCAUAGCGGGUAACACCCGUCAGUUGGUCUCGAAAUUUCGAGAUGAAUUAGGACAAGUGCAACAGAAAGCAGGUACAGGUAAUGCUGUAGUGAAACCAGGUAAACUCUAUGCGGUGAAAUAUCAAGUAUAUCAGCAUUUAAGGGCUUCUCGUCCGUUGUUGAAGGGUAGAUAGCUUGAGGCUUGCAGUAAUGUAAGUCCUAGAUAAAUGAUAAGGCUCCGUUUCUUGGAGACAGAAUCCGGCUUAUAGGUCUGCUUUUUUA
rnacentral:RNase_P_RNA from 1 species